rnacentral:lncRNA from 1 species
CUGUGCACCUUCUUUUACAAACCUGGCUUCUUUACAUUCAAUAGCCAUCACUGUGAUCUAUCUGAUCUAGACAGCUGUGCCGAGACAGAGGAUUUUGAAAUAUUGCUGUAAAAAACUGGAAGCUUUUUUUGCCACACUUGUAUUCAUUUUAGUGGUUAUCACUGUAACAGUUAACAAAAGACACAAAGACAUCCAUACCCAAAACACAGCAUAUGAAGAUUUAAUUUUUUUUCAAAUGGCACAUACAUUUAAAUAGCUACUACUUCUCCCAUUUGGCAAGGCCAUUGUUGUGGCUAAUGUAUGUAUUUCUGAAAACAAUGAUACGUUUCCAAUACUUUCUUCCACAAUUUUUUUUCAAUGAGCAAUAAAGGAGGUUGAGGUGGGAUGUGUUUUAUCCCACCACAUUAUAUCAUUCCUCUUUUUCCUCUUUGUUGGAUGGCAAUCAGGAACCCUCAUGCCAAGCUUGGGAAGCAACAGCAUCUGGCUCCUUGGCAGAUUCUGCAGGCGGUCUUGUUGCCAGCCUUUAAGCUGUGUCUGGGUCUGCUGCAUGGUUUGGCUGCAGAUGGGCUCUCUGGGUUGCCUUGUGCUUAUGGGUGCCAGUUUUGGCUUACCUUUGAUUCUGAGGACUUUACUCAUUUUUAUUCAUUUGUGAAUAAGGACCCAUCCAAAUGCUUCAUGAAACCAGUAUCAAAGUGUGCCGAUAUUUAAAAUGAAAAGGGAAGGAGGCUGCUUCCCUUCCCCCUCCCCUCCCCAGGAUGAAACAUUAUAAUAGCAUCUGCAAAUGGAUCUGGAUCUAUCAGUAUUUCCAUUAUAAAUCAGAGGCUUAGAGCUCAGCCAUGAAUAUUCCUCCCAGAACGAAAUGCAAUGCUGCCGUUAGUAUCAAAAUAGCGCCGAAGGUUUUUCAGACCACCUAGGCAUUCCCGUGCUUGGUUUCCCUCCUCCAAGGGAGAUCAUUUUAAAGACGUGACAGUCUAGCAUUGAACAUACGUCCAAAAACUUGUGUGUGACAAAAAUUGCUUCUCGCUGGUGUUUCUGGAAGCUGAGGUUCAGUGCAGUUUUGGAGUCACUUCCAACCCCAAGAUUGAAAGAAAAUCUUUGAAGCUGGAGAAUCAGUGGGUGCCGAGCUGCGGCCGUGAACACAAUCCUCUGCGACCACUAUCUGUAGACCUUGGAGGCUGGGAGGAUGCAGCAGGGAAGCUGUUUGCACGUCUCCUGCACUGAGCUAGAGAGGCCGCUGCUCAGACCCUGUCUGGCCAUCAUUCUGCCUGGGUUUGGGCGCCCUGAUGGGAACCGCCUCUCCCAAAGGGGUGCGGGGAGAGGGGGAUGCAGGAGGCUAAUCGGAGGUGUCAGGCUGCGCAGCAGCGAGCGAGGCGGGGGGCAACCCAGUACCUCUGCCCAGCCAGUCAGGGCUGAUACUGCUCAGCACAGAUGGCUGAGGGGGCUGCCCAGUGACCAAAUUAAGCCUUCAAAACACAACACGACUUCUCGCGUUUUGGAAGGAGACUUUCUGGCCCCCAGGCCCCGGUGCCUGCACCUCCCUACCUGUCUGGCUAGACAAGGCUAUCUGGGGAGAGGUGGGGAUUCACCUUCAAAAAAAAAAAUAAAAAAGAUUGUUCCUGUUCUGGUGAAGGACUUGAGUGCCGAUGCAGCUCUAAGCAUGGGAGGAAGUUACGUGUGUUUCAUGAGAUGGCUCACCUUUAAAAUUAAACUACUUAAUAACUUUCAAAUGUCAGGUCUCAUUAUUGCAUGUCGGUCAGAACCUUGUCUAAAGUUCAUUUGAUUUUUGGCUAGUAAGAGCACACAUUACAGAUCAAAAUAAUAACCUAAUAACUAGUUAGGAUUUUUAAUGUGAACCUCUCCCCCCUCCCGUGUGAGUGCUAUGAGAAUUCGUCAGGAAAUCUCACAUUAGCAAUAAGAACACACAUGAAUAUUAUCUCCAAAAAGAUUCCAACAUGAGCAAAAGGUGAGGGUGCCAAUAAAUAGAGAAGGUCAAAAAACAGAUUUGGUGAUUAUUUGUUUAAAUUCCAUCUGAUUUCUCUUUCCAGGCUGUCUCUUAUGCAUUUUGCUUAGGGAAGCAAUGGUUGCCUAUUGUUGGAGAGGUUAGUUAUUCUUUGUAAUGUCCGUCUGCACAUAAAAACACGACUGUUUAUAUGGUCACGUCAGUAUUUCCUUGUUUACUGUUCUCUUUGACGAGUUUCACCCAUCCAAAGGAAAACAGAAGGAUUAGUGUGUGGUUUAGGUGAUCGGCUGAAUACCACGAGGGGCGAAUGGCAAAUAGGAAACCGUCAGCUCAAACAGCUCAUAAAUUAGGCACAAGAUGAAAAUCAUGACCCUAAAUCAUUAGCAGCCAGAAGUAAAAAUAAGCCAAAAAGUUGUGAACAUGCUCAACACAGCUCUGGCUGGUCCAUCAACCAUUCACUAACAGAAGUUCUGCAACUAUGGCCAGUGAUAUUUGAACAAAUAAUAUUACUGUUGCUAGCUCUGCUGUGUGUGACUCCCACCUCACAGAGGAGGACUAGGCAGGGAUCACACGCCCUGAG